rnacentral:rRNA from 1 species
AUUGAACGCUGGCGGCAGGCCUAACACAUGCAAGUCGAACGAGUGGCGGACGGGUGAGUAAUGUCUGGGAAUCUGCCUGAUGGAGGGGGAUAACUACUGGAAACGGUAGCUAAUACCGCAUACCAUCGGAUGUGCCCAGAUGGGAUUAGCUUGUAGGUGGGGUAACGGCUGACCUAGGCGACGAUCCCUAGCUGGUCUGAGAGGAUGAUCAGCAACACUGGGACGGAGACACGGUCCAGACUCCUACGUGAGGGAGCAGUGGGGAAUAUUGCACAAUGGGCGCAAGCCUGGUGCAGCCAUGCCGGGUGUAUGAAGAAGGCCUUCGGGUUGUAAAUUACUUUCAGCGGGGAGGCGUUACCCGCAGAAGAAGCACCGGCUAACUCCGUGCCAGCAGCCGCGGUAAUAC